UGGAGAAGGUGGUGGAAAACUGCCUUCUUGAACCGCUGCAGUCCCUGAAGUGUAGUAACAUACAUAGUACUGUUAGGAAAGGAAUGCCAGGGCUGUGAUUCCAGUGACAGUGAAACAAGUGCGAUAUAUUUCCACGUCAGGACGGUGAGUGGCUUUGGAUGCAAACUUGCAGAUGGUUGCAUUACCUUGCAUUUGCUGCACUUGUCUUCUAGAGGUCAUCAGUCUGGAAGGGGCUGCCAAGGUGAACGAGUGACUGUGCCUCGUGUAUUGAAAGGAGAUGGUGAACUACAUGAACCUUAUGUCCCAGUUGGAACUGAAUGGCUGUGAAUCAUUGCAAAGGAAAGGCAAGUUGGACAGUCUACAAACAAGCUCAGAAAGUGCUGGAGAAACUCAACAGAUCUGGCAGCUUUUAUGCAGAGAGAAACAGUCUACAUCCCAGCACUUGCAGACGAAUGCCCAAUUGAGAUUGAUUGUGACUGCAAUGUGAGAUACUCUGGGUUAACAUCCUAAAUCAGAAAUUUGUGGGUUUAGAUCCCAAUCUCAAGACUUGACCAUAAAAUCCUCACUUGGAAGCACCAUCUUUCAAACAACACACCAAACGAAAGCUCUCUCAGGUGAAAACUUGUCUGGGAGAUCCCAGGCACCAGUUCCAAAAAGCAGGGAAGUUCUACUCACUGUUUAUUCCUCCAUCUACAUCAUCGAACAAUAAAAUGGUCUAGUCA